rnacentral:rRNA from 1 species
GACGUAGGGCGCGAGCGUUGUCCGGAUUUAUUGGGCGUAAAGAGCUCGUAGGCGGCUUGUCGCGUCGUCCGUGAAAACUUGGGGCUCAACCCCAAGCUUGCGGUCGAUACGGGCAGACUAGAGUUCGGUAGGGGAGACUGGAAUUCCUGGUGUAGCGGUGAAAUGCGCAGAUAUCGAGAGGAACACCAGUGGCGAAGGCGAGUCCCUGGACACUUCCUGACACUGAGGCACGAAAGCUAGGGGAGCAAACAGG